GGGGCUGAUUCUGGAUUCGACGGGAUUUGCGAAGCCCAAGGUGCAUGCCGAGGGGCGGUUGGCCUCGUAAAAAGCCGCAAAAAAUAGUCGCAAACGACGAAAACUACGCUUUAGCAGCUUAAUAACCUGCUUAGAGCCCUCUCUCCCUAGCCUCCGCUCUUAGGACGGGGAUCAAGAGAGGUCAAACCCAAAAGAGAUCGCGUGGAAGCCCUGCCUGGGGUUGAAGCGUUAAAACUUAAUCAGGCUAGUUUGUUAGUGGCGUGUCCGUCCGCAGCUGGCAAGCGAAUGUAAAGACUGACUAAGCAUGUAGUACCGAGGAUGUAGGAAUUUCGGACGCGGGUUCAACUCCCGCCAGCUCCACCA
rnacentral:tmRNA from 1 species